UAGAAAAAGACUACUCACUCAAGCCUGGAAAACAAUCCGAAUCAAUUGCAAACAUCGGACUUUUAACAACAACUGGAUAACUAGAAAGAGCUGCAGUCAUUGUUUCCUGGCGGACCUUUUAAGCGACGGACACUUUGAUCCAGACAGGCGGCAACAAUCACAGCAAACCCAGCAGGGGGUCGCAGCUUACUGCGAGGUUUUGUUCUCCCAGGAUGCAGACGGACUAUUCCAAACAAGGCGUGCAGUUUCACAAAUUCCUCACCGUGGACUUAUUCAGUCUGUUCAGCUGAUUGGAAACCUAGCUUUCUACAGCUCAAGGGUCCAUGACCAUGACUUCUGUUUUUUGGGAUCAGCCGUUUGACUGCAGUGUU